AUUGAACGCUGGCGGCAGGCCUAACACAUGCAAGUCGAACGAGUGGCGGACGGGUGAGUAAUGUCUGGGAAACUGCCUGAUGGAGGGGGAUAACUACUGGAAACGGUAGCUAAUACAGCAUACACUCGGCUGUGCCCAGAUGGGAUUAGCUAGUAGGUGGGGUAACGGCUCACCUAGGCGACGAUCCCUAGCUGGUCUGAGAGGAUGACCAGCCACACUGGAACUGAGACACGGUCCAGACGCCUACGUGAGGCAGCAGGGGGGAAUAUUGCACAAUGGGCGAAAGCCUGAUCCAGCCAUGCCGCGUGUGUGAAGUAGGUCUUCGGAUUGUAAAGCACUUUAAGUUGGGAGGCGUUACCAACAGAAUAAGCACCGGCUAACUUCGUGCCAGCAGCCGCGGUAAUAC
rnacentral:rRNA from 1 species